UGGGGAAUUUUGGACAAUGGGCGAAAGCCUGAUCCAGCAAUGCCGCGUGUGUGAAGAAGGCCUUCGGGUUGUAAAGCACUUUUGUCCGGAAAGAAAUCCUUGGCUCUAAUACAGUCGGGGGAUGACGGUACCGGAAGAAUAAGCACCGGCUAACUACGUGCCAGCAGCCGCGGUAAUACGUAGGGUGCAAGCGUUAAUCGGAAUUACUGGGCGUAAAGCGUGCGCAGGCGGUUUGCUAAGACCGAUGUGAAAUCCCCGGGCUCAACCUGGGAACUGCAUUGGUGACUGGCAGGCUAGAGUAUGGCAGAGGGGGGUAGAAUUCCACGUGUAGCAGUGAAAUGCGUAGAGAUGUGGAGGAAUACCGAUGGCGAAGGCAGCCCCCCUGGGCCAAUACUGACGCUCAUGCACGAAAGCGUGGGGAGCAAAACAGGAUUAGAUACCCUGGUAGUCCACGCCCUAAACGAUGUCAACUAGUUGUUGGGGAUUCAUUUCCUAGUAACGUAGCUAACGCGUGAAGUUGACCGCCUGGGGAGUACGGUCGCAAGAUUAAAACUUAAAUGAAUUGACGGGGUCAUAGCUGUUUCCU
rnacentral:rRNA from 1 species